rnacentral:rRNA from 1 species
UACGGGAGGCAGCAGUGGGGAAUAUUGCACAAUGGGCGCAAGCCUGAUGCAGCCAUGCCGCGUGUAUGAAGAAGGCCUUCGGGUUGUAAAGUACUUUCAGUCGUGAGGAAGGUGUUAAGGUUAAUAACCUUAGCAAUUGACGUUAGCGACAGAAGAAGCACCGGCUAACUCCGUGCCAGCAGCCGCGGUAAUACGGAGGGUGCGAGCGUUAAUCGGAAUUACUGGGCGUAAAGGGCACGCAGGCGGUUAAUUAAGUUGGAUGUGAAAUCCCCGGGCUUAACCUGGGAAUGGCAUUCAAGACUGGUUAGCUAGAGUCUUGUAGAGGGGGUAGAAUUCCAUGUGUAGCGGUGAAAUGCGUAGAGAUGUGGAGGAAUACCGGUGGCGAAGGCGGCCCCUGGACAAAGACUGACGCUCAUGUGCGAAAGCGUGGGGAGCAAACGAGGAUUAGAUA